rnacentral:rRNA from 1 species
UACGGGGGGGGCAAGCGUUGUUCGGAAUUACUGGGCGUAAAGGGCUCGUAGGCGGCCAACUAAGUCAGACGUGAAAUCCCUCGGCUUAACCGGGGAACUGCGUCUGAUACUGGUUGGCUUGAAUCCGGGAGAGGGAUGUGGAAUUCCUGGUGUAGCGGUGGAAUGCGCAGAUAUCAGGAGGAACACCGAUAGCGAAGGCAGCUCGCUGGGACGGUACUGACGCUAAGGCGCGAAAGCGUGGGGAGCGAACAGG